CAUGACUGAAGUGGAGACGUGCCAGA
rnacentral:misc_RNA from 1 species